CUACGGGUCGCAGCAGUGAGGAAUAUUGCACAAUGGGGGGAACCCUGAUGCAGCAACGCCGCGUGGAGGAUGACGCAUUUCGGUGUGUAAACUCCUUUUAUAUGUCAAGAAAAUGACGGUAGCAUAUGAAUAAGCACCGGCUAACUCCGUGCCAGCAGCCGCGGUAAUACGGAGGGUGCAAGCGUUACUCGGAAUCACUGGGCGUAAAGGACGCGUAGGCGGGUUGGAAAGUCAGGUGUGAAAUCCUACAGCUUAACUGUAGAACUGCACUUGAAACUUCUAAUCUAGAGUAUGGGAGGGGGGGAUGGAAUUAGUGGUGUAGGGGUAAAAUCCGUAGAUAUCACUAGGAAUACCUAAAGCGAAGGCGAUCUCCUGGAACAUUACUGACACUAAGGCGUGAAAGCGUGGGGAGCAAACAGGAUUAGAUACCCCGGUAGUC
rnacentral:rRNA from 1 species